rnacentral:tRNA from 1 species
GCAGUCGUGGCUGAGCGGUUAAGGCGAUGGACUAGAAAUCCAUUCGCGUCUCCCCGAACAGGUUCAAAUCCUGUCGACUGCG